rnacentral:rRNA from 1 species
GAUUGAACGCUGGCGGCAGGCCUAACCCAUGCAAGUCGAGCGGAUGAAGGGAGCUUGCUCCUGGCUUCAGCGGCGGACGGGUGAGUAAUGCCUAGGAAUCUGCCUGGUAGUGGGGGAUAACGUCCGGAAACGGGCGCUAAUACCGCAUACGUCCUGAGGGAGAAAGUGGGGGAUCUUCGGACCUCACGCUAUCAGAUGAGCCUAGGUCGGAUUAGCUAGUUGGUGGGGUAAAGGCCUACCAAGGCGACGAUCCGUAACUGGUCUGAGAGGAUGAUCAGUCACACUGGAACUGAGACACGGUCCAGACUCCUACGGGAGGCAGCAGUGGGGAAUAUUGGACAAUGGGCGAAAGCCUGAUCCAGCCAUGCCGCGUGUGUGAAGAAGGUCUUCGGAUUGUAAAGCACUUUAAGUUGGGAGGAAGGGCAGUAAGUUAAUACCUUGCUGUUUUGACGUUACCAACAGAAUAAGCACCGGCUAACUUCGUG